rnacentral:sRNA from 1 species
CCUCAUUCAGUGAAUUUUCCACAUGUAGGCUUUAAAGCCUUCAGUCCACUACUUAAAAUAAUCAUCAGACC